rnacentral:rRNA from 1 species
GAUGAACGCUGGCGGCGUGCCUAAUACAUGCAAGUCGAGCGAACAGAUGAGGAGCUUGCUCCUCUGACAUUAGCGGCGGACGGGUGAGUAACACGUGGAUAACCUACCUAUAAGACUGGGAUAACUUCGGGAAACCGGAGCUAAUACCGGAUAAUAUAUUGAACCGCAUGGUUCAAUAGUGAAAGACGGUUUUGCUGUCACUUAUAGAUGGAUCCGCGCCGCACUAGCUAGUUGGUAAGGUAACGGCUUACCAAGGCAACGAUGCGUAGCCGACCUGAGAGGGUGAUCGGCCACACUGGAACUGAGACACGGUCCAGACUCCUACGGGAGGCAGCAGUAGGGAAUCUUCCGCAAUGGGCGAAAGCCUGACGGAGCAACGCCGCGUGAGUGAUGAAGGUCUUCGGAUCGUAAAACUCUGUUAUUAGGGAAGAACAAAUGUGUAAGUAACUAUGCACGUCUUGACGGUACCUAAUCAGAAAGCCACGGCUAACUACGUG